rnacentral:rRNA from 1 species
UACGGAGGAUGCGAGCGUUAUCCGGAUUUAUUGGGUUUAAAGGGUGCGUAGGCGGUAAGAUAAGUCAGCGAUGAAACGCAAGGGCUCAACCCUUGGCCUGCCGUUGAAACUGUUGUACUAGAAUGCGGAUGCUGUGGGAGGAAUGUGUGGUGUAGCGGUGAAAUGCAUAGAUAUCACACAGAACACCGAUUGCGAAGGCAUCUCACAAAUCCGUGAUUGACGCUGAGGCACGAAAGUGUGGGGAUCAAAC